rfam:Stegodyphus mimosarum contig26057, whole genome shotgun sequence.
GCCUUCGUGGUUUAAUGGUCAACACACUCGAUGCGUAUUCGAGAGGUCUGUGGUUCGACUCCCGGCAAGUGCA